rnacentral:rRNA from 1 species
GUAGGUGGCAAGCGUUGUCCGGAAUUAUUGGGCGUAAAGCGCGCGCAGGCGGUUCUUUAAGUCUGAUGUGAAAGCCCACGGCUCAACCGUGGAGGGUCAUUGGAAACUGGAGAACUUGAGUACAGAAGGGGAAAGCGGAAUUCCACGUGUAGCGGUGAAAUGCGUAGAGAUGUGGAGGAACACCAGUGGCGAAGGCGGCUUUCUGGUCUGUAACUGACGCUGAGGCGCGAAAGCGUGGGGAGCAAACAGGGACUAGAUACCCUGGUAGUCCACGCCGUAAACGAUGAGUGCUAAGUGUUAGGGGGGUUUCCGCCCCCUUAGUGCUGCAGCUAACGCAUUAAGCACCCCCGCCUGGGGAGUACGGCCGCAAGGCUG